rnacentral:rRNA from 1 species
UCAAGCUACAAAGAGCGCAAGGGGAAUGCCUUGGCACUGGGAGCCGACGAAGGACGUAGCGAUCUACGAUAAGCCACGGUGAGCCGAAAGCAGGCAUCGACCCGUGGAUUUCCGAAUGGGGCAACCUGGCUGAAUAGAACUCAGUCAACAUACGGUGAAUAAAAUAGUCGUAUGUAGGGAACCGCCUGAACUGAAACAUCUAAGUAGGGCGAGGAAAAGAAAUCAACCGAGAUUCCGCAAGUAGUGGCGAGCGAACGCGGAAGAGGCCAAACCGAGAGUAGUAAUACUUUCGGGGUUCGGACAGCGGACGGUAUGCUGAAGGUUAGCAGAAGGACAUGGGACGGUCCACCAAAGAGAGUGAAAGUCUCGUAUGCGAAAACUGAAAGCAGCCAGCUGAAUCCAGAGUACCGCCGGACACGUGAAACCCGGUGGGAAUAUGGGGGGACCAUCCUCCAAGCCUAAAUACUACCCAGUGACCGAUAGCGUAUAGUACUGUGAAGGAAAGGUGAAAAGGACCCCGGGAGGGGAGUGAAAGAGAACCUGAAACCUUGUGCUUACAAGCAGUCAAAGCGCGUUAAAGCGUGAUGACGUACUUUUUGUAGAACGGUCCGGCGAGUUAUAGUAACGAGCAAGCUUAAGGUAUUCAGUACCGGAGGCGAAGCGAAAGCGAGUCUGAAUAGGGCGCAUGAAGUUCGUUGCCAUAGACCCGAAACCGGGUGACCUACCCAUGAGCAGGUUGAAGUGGGGGUGAAACCCCAUGGAGGACCGAACCGACCCCCGUUGCAAUGGUGGCGGAUGACUUGUGGAUAGCGGAGAAAUUCCAAUCGAACUCGGAGAUAGCUGGUUCUCCCCGAAAUAGCUUUAGGGCUAGCGUUAUGUUAGAUUACCGGAGGUAAAGCACUGAAUGGUUUAGGGGCUGAUAAAGUUACCGACGCCUAUCAAACUCAGAAUGCCGGCUAAUUGAUGCAUAGCAGUCAGACAGUGUGAGAUAAGUUUCAUUGUCAAAAGGGAAACAGCCCAGACCCACAGCUAAGGUCCCAAAGUACGGUUAAGUGGAAAAGGAUGUGGAGUUGCACAGACAACCAGGAUGUUGGCUUAGAAGCAGCCACUCAUUAAAAGAGUGCGUAAUAGCUCACUGGUCGAGUGACUCUGCGCCGAAAAUUUAACGGGGCUAAAUCGUACACCGAAGCUUGGGAUGUAUCUAUGAUGCAUGGUAGGAGAGCGUUGAAUGCGGGGUGAAGUCAGAGCGAAAGCGCUGGUGGACUGCAUUGAAGUGAGAAUGCCGGAAUGAGUAGCGAGAUUUAUGUGAGAAUCAUAAAGGCCGAAAGACUAAGGUUUCAGAAGGAAGGUUCGUCCGCUUCUGGUUAGCCGGGAGCUAAGGUGAGGCCGAAAGGCGUAGCCGAUGCACAUACGGUGGAGAUUCCGUAGCCGUCGAAAUAUUUAAGCAAAGGGACACUUAUGAAGGACAUGACCCGGGCGAUGGUAGCCCCGGGCGUAAGGGACUGAAAACAAGUAAGGAAGCAUGUUUGGAUUAAGGCGAGAAAAGCUUUGUGUAUAUAUGAGACGUCCGUACCGCAAACCGACACAGGUAGUCAGGAAGAGGAUUCUAAGGCCAACGGGAGAAGGGUAGUUAAGGAACUCGGCAAAUUGACCCCGUAACUUCGGGAUAAGGGGCGGUGCGUAAGCACCCGCAGUGAAUAGGUCCAGGCGACUGUUUAUCAAAAACACAGCUCUCUGCUAAAUCGAAAGAUGACGUAUAGGGGGUGACACCUGCCCGGUGCUGGAAGGUUAAGAGGAGGAGUGCAAGCUCCGAAUUGAAGCCCCAGUAAACGGCGGCCGUAACUAUAACGGUCCUAAGGUAGCGAAAUUCCUUGUCGGGUAAGUUCCGACCCGCACGAAUGGUGUAACGAUCUGGACGCUGUCUCAACUGCCCACCCGGCGAAAUUGUAGUACCGGUGAAGAUGCCGGUUACCCGCGGCAAGACGGAAAGACCCCAUGGAGCUUUACUGUAACUUGAUAUUGGGUCUUGGUAUUCUAUGUACAGGAUAGGCGGGAGACUAUGAAACAUACACGCCAGUGUAUGCGGAGUCACCCUUGGGAUACCGCUCUUAGAGUACUGAGAUUCUAACCUGCGGCCGUGAAUCCGGUCGGGGGACAUUGUCAGGUGGGCAGUUUGACUGGGGCGGUCGCCUCCUAAAAGGUAACGGAGGCGCUCAAAGGUUAGCUCAGCACGGUCGGAAACCGUGCCUCUGAGUGCAAACGCAAAAGCUAGCCUAACUGCGAGGCUGACGGGCCGAGCAGUAACGAAAGUUGGAGUUAGUGAUCCGGCGGUAUGUGAAUGGAAAUGCCGUCGCUCAACGGAUAAAAGCUACCCUGGGGAUAACAGGCUGAUCUCCCCCAAGAGUCCACAUCGACGGGGAGGUUUGGCACCUCGAUGUCGGCUCAUCACAUCCUGGGGCUGAAUUCGGUCCCAAGGGUUCGGCUGUUCGCCGAUUAAAGUGGUACGCGAGCUGGGUUCAGAACGUCGUGAGACAGUUCGGUCCCUAUCUGUCGUGGGCGCAGGAUAUUUGAGGAGUGCUGUCCUUAGUACGAGAGGACCGGGAUGGACGCACCUCUGGUGCACCAGUUGUCACGCCAGUGGCACAGCUGGGCAGCUAUGUGCGGAACGGAUAAACGCUGAAAGCAUCUAAGCGUGAAGCCGCCUCCAAGAUAAGAUAUCCCAUAGCAUAAGCUAGUAAGACCCCUCAUGGACUAAGAGGUUGAUAGGCUGCAUGUGUAAGCGCGGUGACGCGUUUAGCUUGGCAGUACUAAUAGGUCGAGGGCUUGACUU